rnacentral:tRNA from 1 species
GCCUAGGUGAUCUAAAGGGUUAGGUCGCUCGCCCGGAAAGCAAGAGAUCCGAGUUCAACUCCCGGCCAAGGUA